UACGGAGGGUGCAAGCGUUAUCCGGAUUCACUGGGUUUAAAGGGUGCGUAGGUGGGUUGGUAAGUCCGUGGUGAAAUCUCCGAGCUUAACUCGGAAACUGCCGUGGAUACUAUCAAUCUUGAAUACUGUGGAGGUAAGCGGAAUAUGUCAUGUAGCGGUGAAAUGCUUAGAUAUGGCAUAGAACACCGAUCGCGGAGGCAGCUUGCUACACAGUCAUUGACACUGAGGCACGAAAGCGUGGGGAUCAAACAGG
rnacentral:rRNA from 1 species